rnacentral:lncRNA from 1 species
CUCAGUUUGUCUCUCUAUCGCUUUCCCAGAACACAUCUACAUCUGCCCGACGCGUUUCUCCUCAACCAUGGGCCCUUGCCCGCGGUGCGAACUGCUUCACGCGCCGCCACGUGCGAGAACCAAGCUCUGCUCCUGAAGUGAUGGGGGCUCUGCUCUGCCAGUUCCAGGUCCGAGAGCACCCGAAUUGCUAGGGACACGGCGGACUUCCCAGAGAUCGGACACUUGUUGCUUGUUGAAAAGGCGCCACCUUCCCUGCCAAAGCGAAGGCGCAGCGAAACCAGGAUCAUCGUUUCAACAGAUUGCCAAGUAGAGCCCAGGAGCCCUGCCCCCUGCUUUCCUCCUUCCUCGUUUCACAAUGUCUUUUUCAGCAAAGAUGCCUUUCCAGACAUUUCUUUACAUGUCUGAAAUAUUUAUACACAAAACUGGGGAAGAUGAAUUAAAA